rnacentral:rRNA from 1 species
UAGGGAAUCUUCGGCAACGGACGAAAGUCUGACCGAGCAACGCCGCGUGAGUGAAGAAGGUUUUCGGAUCGUAAAACUCUGUUGGUAGAGAAGAACGUUGGUGAGAGUGGAAAGCUCAUCAAGUGACGGUAACUACCCAGAAAGGGACGGCUAACUACGUGCCAC